rnacentral:rRNA from 1 species
CACUGUGGAAUUCGCCCUUAGAGUUUGAUCCUGGCUCAGGAUGAACGCUGGCGGCGUGCUUAACACAUGCAAGUCGAACGGAACUUGUAAGUGGAAGUCUUCGGAUGGAAGCUUACUUGUUUAGUGGCGGACGGGUGAGUAACGCGUGGGUAACCUGCCUUACACAGGGGGAUAACAGCCGGAAACGGCUGCUAAUACCGCAUAAGCGCACAGCUUCGCAUGGAGUGGUGUGAAAAGAUUUUAUCGGUGUAAGAUGGACCCGCGUCUGAUUAGCUAGUUGGUGGGGUAACGGCCUACCAAGGCAACGAUCAGUAGCCGGCUUGAGAGAGUGAACGGCCACAUUGGGACUGAGACACGGCCCAAACUCCUACGGGAGGCAGCAGUGGGGAAUAUUGCACAAUGGGCGAAAGCCUGAUGCAGCGACGCCGCGUGAGUGAAGAAGUAUUUCGGUAUGUAAAGCUCUAUCAGCAGGGACGAAUAAAUGACGGUACCUGACUAAGAAGCCCCGGCUAACUACGUGCCAGCAGCCGCGGUAAUACGUAGGGGGCAAGCGUUAUCCGGAUUUACUGGGUGUAAAGGGAGCGUAGACGGUGAUGUAAGUCAGAUGUGAAAGCCCGGGGCUCAACCCCGGGACUGCAUUUGAAACUAUGUUGCUAGAGUGCAGGAGAGGUAAGUGGAAUUCCUAGUGUAGCGGUGAAAUG